rnacentral:rRNA from 1 species
GUGGGGAAUAUUGCACAAUGGGGGAAACCCUGAUGCAGCGACGCCGCGUGAGUGAAGAAGUAUUUCGGUAUGUAAAGCUCUAUCAGCAGGGAAGAUAAUGACGGUACCUGACUAAGAAGCCCCGGCUAACUACGUGCCAGCAGCCGCGGUAAUACGUAGGGGGCAAGCGUUAUCCGGAUUUACUGGGUGUAAAGGGUGCGUAGGUGGCAUGGCAAGUCAGAAGUGAAAGCCCGGGGCUCAACCCCGCGGACUGCUUUUGAAACUGUCAGGCUGGAGUACAGGAGAGGUAAGCGGAAUUCCUAGUGUAGCGGUGAAAUGCGUAGAUAUUAGGAGGAACACCAGUGGCGAAGGCGGCUUACUGGACUGAAACUGACACUGAGGCACGAAAGCGUGGGGAGCAAACAGGA